rnacentral:rRNA from 1 species
CCUACGGGAGGCAGCAGUCGAGAAUAAUUCACAAUGGGGGAAAGCCUGAUGGUGCGACGCCGCGUGGGGGAAUGAAGCUCUUCGGAUUGUAAACCCCUGUCAUGUGGGAGCAAAUUAAAAAGAUAGUACCACAAUAGGAAGACACGGCUAACUCGGUCCUAGCAGCCGCGGUACUACAGAGGUCUUAAUCGUUGUUCGGAAUCACUGGGCGUAACGCGUGCGUAGGCUGUUUCGUAAGUCGUGUGUUAAAGGCGCGGGCUAAACCCGCGGACGGCACAUGAUACGGCGCGACUAGGGUAAUGGAGGGGAAACCGGAAUCGUGGUGGUAGCAGGGAA